AUGGCGACCGGCGCACGGGUGAGUAACACGUAUCCAACCUGCCGAUAACUCGGGGAUAGCCUUUCGAAUGAAAGAUUAAUACCCGAUGGCAUAAUUAGACCGCAUGGUCUUAUUAUUAAAGAAUUUCGGUUAUCGAUGGGGAUGCGUUCCAUUAGGCAGUUGGUGAGGUAACGGCUCACCAAACCUUCGAUGGAUAGGGGUUCUGAGAGGAAGGUCCCCCACAUUGGAACUGAGACACGGUCCAA
rnacentral:rRNA from 1 species